rnacentral:rRNA from 1 species
AUUGAACGCUGGCGGCAGGCCUAACACAUGCAAGUCGAGCGGAGGAAGGGAGCUUGCUCCUGGAUUCAGCGGCGGACGGGUGAGUAAUGCCUAGGAAUCUGCCUGGUAGUGGGGGAUAACGUCCGGAAACGGGCGCUAAUACCGCAUACGUCCUGAGGGAGAAAGUGGGGGAUCUUCGGACCUCACGCUAUCAGAUGAGCCUAGGUCGGAUUAGCUAGUUGGUGGGGUAAAGGCCUACCAAGGCGACGAUCCGUAACUGGUCUGAGAGGAUGAUCAGUCACACUGGAACUGAGACACGGUCCAGACUCCUACGGGAGGCAGCAGUGGGGAAUAUUGGACAAUGGGCGAAAGCCUGAUCCAGCCAUGCCGCGUGUGUGAAGAAGGUCUUCGGAUUGUAAAGCACUUUAAGUUGGGAGGAAGGGCAGUAAGUUAAUACCUUGCUGUUUUGACGUUACCAACAGAAUAGGCACCGGCUAACUUCGUG